CUUCUAUACUCCCGUUCGCUCUUUUCUUUGCUCAAUUGAUUAGCAAUCAAUCAGUUAUUCAUGUGGGCAGAGCCUAGCAGUGAUUAUUUUUUUCAAUGAGGUGUGUGAAUUUUUACCAAUUUUGGCACAAAGCUAUAUUUUCAUACCAUAUGGUCUUUGAAAUAUUUACAAUACUUUCUUUUGGUAAAAAAGAUUUGUUUACAGAUGGCAUAAAAUCAAACAUCAUUCUUGGUUCAUGUAAUCAUAAUCAUCACCAAUACCACCAGAGUAACAGUAACCUUUGGGUUCAAUCAAUGAAUUGAUUUUAUAAUCUGUUAGAGUUGUCUUCUGAUGUUCACUAUCGUGGCUUGUAUACAUUUGUGAAAGAAGUAGAGAAUGAAAGCUUAGUAGUUUACAUGCUGUAAAAAUUAAGAGGACAUGAUUUAGGAUUAAAGGAGGUAGUGAUUUAAUUUUGGAGUUGCUGAGCCGAGCUCUGGUGGUCUGCAGAACUCUGGGGGAAAUCCAGAUAUUGCGGUAACAGAUUUGGGUUGGAAUGUUUUGUGAAUGCAAUAGCAGAUGCACUUAUGGAAGCCUUUUCAUUUCAGGAUAUUGCCUCAUGCGACCUUAGGACAUGAUGGUUCUCCCAAGGCUCUAGAUGUGACCAGAAGUUUUCUGUUUAACCAAACCUUGAAAAUGGUUCCCUUUCACAACAAUAUUUAAAGGGUCAUGUAAAAUUACAUGGCUUGCAAAAACUAUAAACAGGAUAUAAAUGUAUGGUCUUUAAGCCAGUACAAUCUAUUCUGUCUUGGACAGCUUGAAUUAAGGAACCCAUGGAAACAGAUGACAUGUGCUAAUAACAGCAUCUUUGGGAAGAUGAUUUUGCUUUUCAUGAAGAAAGAAUGUUUUGAACUGUUGUACUGGAAUUUCAGUGCCUGCAAUGUUGAAGGUGACACCAGCUCGGAUAUGUAUUGUUUGGGGGUCAUAAAUGACCUUUGGAGCAUUUAUAAAAGUGGUAGUUACAGAAAACUUAUUAUCCUGAUGCUGAGAAGCAAACACUUUAAGAGGGACAUCAGCUACUUGUGUCGCAGAGCAGCCCUGUUCCAGAGCAUCACCAGAACUCAUGGCCACAACCAGUGUAACCUCUGCAGUGGGUGUUGUUGUGCUGCCCUCACUAUAUGUGUGAUUCAGUCCUAUCAGUUGUGUCCAACUCUGCACCCCCAUGGACUGUUGCCCUCUGCAAGCUCCUCUGUCCAUGGGAUUUUUCCAGGCAAGAAUACUGGAGUGGGGUGCCAUGCCCUCCUCCAGGGGAUUUUCCCCAACCAGGGAUUGAACCCGUAUCUCUGACAUCUUAUGCAGUGACAGGUAGGUUCUUUACCAUAGUGCCACAGGGGAAGCCCACCAGACAAUGAGCUAGUGUCUUAUUUCACUCUUGUAAUAAUCCAUCAAAGUCCUUAUUAAUACUCUCAUCUCAGUUUAAUAGGAAAAGAGAGAGAGAAAAAGGAGAGUUAGAGGGUGAAUUCAUUUCCUCAACUGAGUGAUGAAAAGAGCUUUGUACCCUCGUCUCCCUGACUUCAAGACCCAGUCUCUUUUCAACCAUUUCACCAUUAAAUCAUGGUGCUAUGUUGCCAAGUAUGGAAGGUUUAAAGUAAGUGAGUGACAAGAUCAAUGCAGAAUUUUGGGUGGAAAAAAAAAGUCUAAACGGGGUGUGCGAUUCUGGAGGGGAAGACACUCUAUUCAUGUCUACCGGAGUUCCUCUGAGUGGAAAAUGGAAACCACCUCCCACUUGAUUAAGUGCCUUCCCUGAUGCCUGUCCUCAGAGUCGUUCUCAUUCUCUUCCCUGCUGUGAAGCCAGGUUUAGGAGGAGAUGGAAGAGAUAAGCAGAUGAAUAAAAAUAAGCAGACCAGAUAAUGUUGGCUGAUU
rnacentral:lncRNA from 1 species